rnacentral:rRNA from 1 species
AUUUAACGCUGGCGGCAUGCCUUACACAUGCAAGUCGAACGGUAACAGGCCGCAAGGUGCUGACGAGUGGCGAACGGGGGAGGAAUGCAUCGGAACGUGCCCAAUCGUGGGGGAUAACUGCUCGAAAGAGCAGCUAAUACCGCAUACGACCUGAGGGUGAACUCGGGGGACCGCAUGGCCUCGCGCGAGUGUAGCGGCCGACGUCAGAGUAGCUAGUUGGUGGAGUAAAGGCCUACCAAGGCAACGAUCUGUAGAUGGUAUGAGCGGACGACCAGCCACAAUGGGACUAAGACACAGCCCAAUCUCCUACGGGAGGCAGCAGUGGGGAAAUUUGGACAAUGGGCGCAAGCCUGAUCCAGCAAUGCCGCGUGCAGGAAGAAGGCCUUCGGAUUGUAAACUGCUUUUGUCAGGGAAGAAAUCUUCUGGGCUAAUACCCCGGGAGGAUGACGGUACCUGAAGAAUAAGCACCGGCUAACUACGUGCCAGCAGCCGCCGUAAUAC